UAUGACCUACGGGGCGCAGCAGUGGGGGAUAUUGCACAAUGGGGGAAACCCUGAUGCAGCGACGCCGCGUGGGCGAAGAAGUAUUUCGGUAUGUAAAGCCCUAUCAGCAGGGAAGAAGAAAUGACGGUACCUGAGUAAGAAGCACCGGCUAAAUACGUGCCAGCAGCCGCGGUAAUACGUAGGGGGCAAGCGUUAUCCGGAUUUACUGGGUGUAAAGGGAGCGUAGACGGCAGGGCAAGCCAGAAGUGAAAACGCAGAGCUUAACUUUGCGACUGCUUUUGGAACUGCCCAG
rnacentral:rRNA from 1 species